rnacentral:rRNA from 1 species
CAGCCGUAAACUAUGCGCGUUAGGUGUACUGGUGACCACGAGUCACCGGGGUGCCGAAGGGAAACCGUGAAACGUGCCGCCUGGGAAGUACGGUCGCAAGGCUGAAACUUAAAGGAAUUGGCGGGGGAGCACCACAACGGGUGGAUCCUGCGGUUUAAUUGGACUCAACGCCGGAAAUCUCACCGGAUAGGACAGACAUAUGAUAGUCGGGCUGAAGACUCUACUUGAUGAUCUGAGAGGUGGUGCAUGGCGUCAGUGACU